UGUAGCUCAGUGGUAGAGCAUGUGCCUAACAUGUUCAAGUCCAUGGGUUCAAUCCCCAGCA
rnacentral:tRNA from 1 species